rnacentral:rRNA from 1 species
UACGGAGGGAGCUAGCGUUGUUCGGAAUUACUGGGCGUAAAGCGCACGUAGGCGGCGAUUCAAGUCAGAGGUGAAAGCCCGGGGCUCAACCCCGGAACUGCCUUUGAAACUAGAGUGCUAGAAUCCUGGAGAGGUUAGUGGAAUUCCGAGUGUAGAGGUGAAAUUCGUAGAUAUUCGGAAGAACACCAGUGGCGAAGGCGAGUAACUGGACAGGUAUUGACGCUGAGGUGCGAAGGCGUGGGGAGCAAACAGG